rnacentral:miRNA from 2 species
CAAAAACCUCAGUUGCUUUUG